GAUGAACGCUGGCGGCGUGCCUAAUACAUGCAAGUCGAGCGAACAGACGAGGAGCUUGCUCCUCUGACGUUAGCGGCGGACGGGUGAGUAACACGUGGAUAACCUACCUAUAAGACUGGGAUAACUUCGGGAAACCGGGGCUAAUACCGGAUAAUAUAUUGAACCGCAUGGUUCAAUAGUGAAAGACGGUUUUGCUGUCACUUAUAGAUGGAUCCGCGUCGCAUUAGCUAGUUGGUAAGGUAACGGCUUACCAAGGCAACGAUGCGUAGCCGACCUGAGAGGGUGAUCGGCCACACUGGAACUGAGACACGGUCCAGACUCCUACGGGAGGCAGCAGUAGGGAAUCUUCCGCAAUGGGCGAAAGCCUGACGGAGCAACGCCGCGUGAGUGAUGAAGGUCUUCGGAUCGUAAAACUCUGUUAUUAGGGAAGAACAAAUGUGUAAGUAACUAUGCACGUCUUGACGGUACCUAAUCAGAAAGCCACGGCUAACUACGUG
rnacentral:rRNA from 1 species